rnacentral:tRNA from 1 species
CAAAUUGAAGCUUUAUAGAAGCUUUUUAUUUACAUUAAAAUUAUUUUUGUUAAUUCAAUUCAAUUUGA